AUUUUUAAAUAUUGACUGAUGAACGGAUCAAUAUUGUGAGCGGAGACAGCAAAAUUUCUUUGACGAUUUUAAGAUCAUUAACCAAACAAACGCUAAUUGACAAAAUAGUUAACUAAUAAAGAAACUAGGUUACUAUUUUAGGUAACCAGCAUGUGAAACUUCACGUGAUUUGUUGAUAACCAAAUUGGUCCACACGACCACACCCUUCACAUCAUUUGUAUUUAUUUAUUUUUAAUACUCUCACUUUUUCUUCCUUGCUAUAAAAAUUUAUAGCCGUGAACUGCGAGAAAAGGAGCAAGACGUCAAAUAGAACGAUUUGGACAGGUGGGCUCAACCUUGAUCCAAUUAAAGAGGCUCGACACCGAGCUUAUUGUGUAGAAGUAGACUUGAUCUCAUCGAUCUCGAGCUCCUGAUAUCUUGGAUUACAGGGAUAGGCUCAACCUCAAGUUUAUCUUCCGGGUACCUUAAAGAAAGGAGUCGAUUUGCGGCAUUUUCACCCCUCCAAUGCUAAAAUAGAUUAAUGCAAAGAUAUACGAGAAAAGGAGCAAGACGUCAAAUAGAACGAUUUGGACAGGUGGGCUCAACCUUGAUCCAAUUAAAGAGGCUCGACACCGAGCUUAUUGUGUAGAAGUAGACUUGAUCUCAUCGAUCUCGAGCUCCUGAUAUCUUGGAUUACAGGGAUAGGCUCAACCUCAAGUUUAUCUUCCGGGUA
rnacentral:lncRNA from 1 species